rnacentral:lncRNA from 1 species
AUGUUCCCAUGGGAUCUUGGGGAUGUUCCUGUAGGAUCUUUCUUCCAGGAUGUUCCUGUAGGAUCUUUGGAAUGUGUCUUCUGGGAUCUUUGGGGUUCCUGUGGGAUCUCCUGGGAGGUUUUGGGGUUCUGGGGUGGCUGGAGGGGCGUGGAGCCCACGGGGAGGCCGGGAAGGGCCGGGUGUGGGGGUCCCAGGACUGCACCCCCAAUUCAGCCUCGUCGAAGCCCCUUUGACCUUCCCCCUGCAUUUCCCCCCAUGGGGAUUUUGGGGGUUCCACUUUACCCCCCCUGCCUGAGGAAUUCCUGCUGCAGAGGGAAUUCACCCCAAAACGGGCCGGCUUUGUCCACAGGAUGUUGGUGGCCCCGGGGUUUUGGGGGUGACUCUGGUGCCCCACAAGGGACACGCUGCACAGGUGGCCAUGGGACACCUGCAAAUUUCCUUUUUGAAGCAUUUUUGGGUAUAAAGGGUGGGAGCCACCCCUUUCCUCACCCUUCCUGCUGCUUUUGGGGAUUUCAGAGCCCCCCUUGAAGGAAUUCACCACUGGGGAAUGUUUAACCCCUUUUUCAGCCACGACUCACAUCUAAUUUAACCAUUUGUUUUUCUUUUUCCACUUAAAUAUUCCCCUUAAAUACAGCAUUAUCAGGAAAAAGGAGCCAUUAUGAACGUGCCCAUUAUUCCCGGGCACGGCUGAGGAAAAAAAAAAUUGUAACGUUGAAUGAGAAGCUUUGGAAUCACAAAAUUUGUGAAAAUAAAACAAAAAUCCAGUGGGAGCUUGGAGGAAUUGAAGGGGACAUUGG